AUUAAGCUUCCUCUGGUACUGAUGGCCAUCAGGGCCACCCCUCACCGGUCUACCGGAGUACCCCCGUUCGAAAUGAUGACGGGGCGACAAAUGACACUACCGCUACACCUGCUAGGAUAUCAGGCCGAA